GAUUGAACGCUGGCGGCAUGCCUAACACAUGCAAGUCGAACGGUAACAGGUCUUCGGAUGCUGACGAGUGGCGGACGGGUGAGUAAUGCGUAGGAAUCUGUCUUUUAGUGGGGGACAACCCAGGGAAACUUGGGCUAAUACCGCAUGAGCCCUGAGGGGGAAAGCGGGGGAUCUUCGGACCUCGCGCUAAGGGAAGAGCCUACGUCUGAUUAGCUAGUUGGUAGGGUAAAGGCCUACCAAGGCGACGAUCAGUAGCUGGUCUGAGAGGACGACCAGCCACACUGGGACUGAGACACGGCCCAGACUCCUACGGGAGGCAGCAGUGGGGAAUUUUUCGCAAUGGGGGCAACCCUGACGAAGCAAUGCCGCGUGGAUGAAGAAGGCCUUCGGGUUGUAAAGUCCUUUCGUGGGGGACGAAAAGGCGGGUCCUAAUACGAUCUGCUGUUGACGUGAACCCAAGAAGAAGCACCGGCUAACUCCGUGCCAGCAGCCGCGGUAAUACGGGGGGUGCAAGC
rnacentral:rRNA from 1 species